UCCCUGGUAGUUUAAUUGGUAAAGAAUCUGCCUGCAAUGCAGAAGACCCUGGUUCGAUUCCUUGGUUGGGAA
rnacentral:tRNA from 1 species